CGGACGGGUGAGUAACGCGUGGAAAAUCUGCCGUAUACUGGGGAUAACACUUAGAAAUAGGUGCUAAUACCGCAUAAGCGCACAGCUUCGCAUGAAGCGGUGUGAAAAACUCUGGUGGUAUACGAUGGUUCCGCGUCUGAUUAGCUAGUUGGUGGGGUAAUGGCCUACCAAGGCAACGAUCAGUAGCCGGCCUGAGAGGGUGAACGGCCACAUUGGGACUGAGACACGGCCCAAACUCCUACGGAAGGCAGCAG
rnacentral:rRNA from 1 species